rnacentral:rRNA from 1 species
AUUGAACGCUGGCGGCAGGCCUAACACAUGCAAGUCGAGCGGCAGCGGGAAAGUAGCUUGCUACUUUUGCCGGCGAGCGGCGGACGGGUGAGUAAUGCCUGGGAAAUUGCCCAGUCGAGGGGGAUAACAGUUGGAAACGACUGCUAAUACCGCAUACGCCCUACGGGGGAAAGCAGGGGACCUUCGGGCCUUGCGCGAUUGGAUAUGCCCAGGUGGGAUUAGCUAGUUGGUGAGGUAAUGGCUCACCAAGGCGACGAUCCCUAGCUGGUCUGAGAGGAUGAUCAGCCACACUGGAACUGAGACACGGUCCAGACUCCUACGGGAGGAAGCAGUGGGGAAUAUUGCACAAUGGGGGAAACCCUGAUGCAGCCAUGCCGCGUGUGUGAAGAAGGCCUUCGGGUUGUAAAGCACUUUCAGCGAGGAGGAAAGGUCAGUAGCUAAUAUCUGCUGGCUGUGACGUUACUCGCAGAAGAAGCACCGGCUAACUCCGUGCCAGCCGCCGCCGUAAGAC